rnacentral:snRNA from 1 species
AAAAACACUUAAGGAUACCUUCUGACAAGAAGGUGGUUUUCCUAGGGGGAGGCUCAUCCUUUGCGCCACAGGUGUUCUGAACCCUGGGGUUCCCCAACUGUGGGAAACACGACUGCAUAAUUUAUGGUAAUGAAGGACUGCUUUCCCCUGCU